UCAGCCUUCCAAGCUGAGGGUCGCCGGUUCGAACCCGGUCUCUCGCUCCA
rnacentral:tRNA from 1 species